rnacentral:rRNA from 1 species
CAGCCGCCGCGGUAAAACGGAGGGUGCAAGCGUUAAUCGGAAUUACUGGGCGUAAAGCGCACGCAGGCGGUCUGACAAGUCAGAUGUGAAAUCCCCGGGCUUAACCUGGGAACUGCAUUUGAAACUGUCAGGCUGGAGUCUUGUAGAGGGGGGUAGAAUUCCAGGUGUAGCGGUGAAAUGCGUAGAGAUUUGGAGGAAUACCGGUGGCGAAGGCGGCCCCCUGGACAAAGACUGACGCUCAGGUGCGAAAGCGUGGGGAGCAAACAGGAUUAGAUACCCCAGUAGUCCCUGUCUCUUAUAC